rnacentral:rRNA from 1 species
ACCCCUUAUAACCCGUUACCUGCGUUCAGACUGGGUCGUUGCGGCGCACUUCCUUCUUCCGAAAGCCCAACAUUUGAAGAAAAUUCCCCCUUCUCGUCUUCUGCCAUGGGGAACUUAUUCGGUGCCGAUUGAUGCAC